CCUACGGGAGGCAGCAGUGAGGAAUAUUGGUCAAUGGGCGGAAGCCUGAACCAGCCAAGUAGCGUGCGGGAUGAAGGCCCUACGGGUCGUAAACCGCUUUUGCACGGGGAUAACACCCUCCGCUUGUUGAGGUCUGCAGGUACCGUGCGAAUAAGGGCCGACUAAUUCCGUGCCAGCAGCGGCGGUAAUCCGGAGGGCCCGAGCGUUGUCCGAAUUCAUUGGGCGGAAAGGGCGCGUAGGCGGGCUGUCAAGUCAGCGGUAAAAUCGCGCGGCUCAACCGCGCCCCGCAGUUGAAACUGGACGUCUUGAGUAAACAAGAGGCAGGCGGAAUUCGUGGUGUAGCGGUGAAAUGCAUAGAUA
rnacentral:rRNA from 1 species